UGACUAUUUAUAUUAUAAUAGUUGUUUCUUCUGUCUACUUAAAGCUGUAAUAUGAAUUCUGUAUUGUAUUGUAUUUUGUAUUUGAGUCUGUACCGACUGACCCUUGCCUGUAUUUACUUUUUCGAUUAAAUUGUAUUUUUGUGUGUAUUUCUUUCGUUUUAUUUUGUUUCCUUGUUGGUAAUUUACUGAAGUAAUUUUUCUGUGUGGGUUUACAAUUAUAUACCUAGGUCCCGGGUAGCAUACUUGCAAUUUGUUACUUUACUUUAUCUUGUAAGUACCGUGUAAUAGGAUAUUUUUAAUACUGCACUCAGUAUAUUACUGCCUUAUAUUUUUUUUGGAAUUUCCAUUUUGAAUAUAGGCCUCGUAACAUUCACUUUUGGUCUUUGGGGCUUUCUCUACCUAAAAGCAUCCUUAGUAUGUACCUUCUUAUAUCAAAUGUACCAAUCAGAAAACCAAAAGGCAUCUCAAUAUAAAGGCAACCUUCUUUAUAUUUACUUGGUUAAAAUAUGACAUUACACAUUACCUAUGAUGACCAAAGAUCAUAUAUUUGUCAAAUCUCCACGUGUAGUAUAUCUCAAAAAUAAUCAAAACAAAUUAAAAUUACAAGUGUAUUUAAAUAAUUCAUUACAAAUCGACUUCUUCAAUACAUUCGACAUUUUCGAAAAGUCUGUAAAAGAUCUUUAUGAGAAUAAUACUCAAAAUUGAUGGAACCAAGCUCAAAUUCAGAAGAAAGGAAAAGAAAGAAAUCUAAGAGUGAUCGCAUGUGCUUCAUUACAUUCCUCCCACUACUUAUAAGUCCACUUAUAUCCUGCAUCCCUUGCUGCUAUUGUUGCACAAACUGGGCCAUACCAGAAGAGAUACCAUACGAAAAAGGUAACCCGAACGAGAUAGACACGAAAAUUAAAGAGUAAAAACUAAGCUCAAACAAUUAAACAAGCAGAAAUUUGUAAAAAGUAAGCUUAGUAAAUUCGAGCUUAGUUUUAGUUACCUUAUGUGUUGUAUUAAUCCCUUUCCGUUCUUUCCUUUAAUCCUUGUGCCCAUAGUUGCAUGCUUCCCUGUAAUAUGUCCACGUUGCAUCUCAUGCUGCGAGAACAAUGAUGAUAAGGAUGCUAAUACUUUAAAUGAUGAAAUUAUAUGCAAAUGCCAACCUGUGGCAUAAUUUACAAAUCUAUAAUAUAAAAAUAAGUCGGGUUUCCCUUCCUGACGCUAUAACUCCAGAACGCACGAACAGAAUUCCACGGUUUUGCAUUCGUUGGAAAGAUCUCGGGCUCUGUGAGGUUUAUAGCAAAGAAAAUUCAGGAAACAUUUCAAAAGAAAAGCAGGAAGUCAAGAGAAAUCAUUGGUGGCGAAGCGGAGUUGGCCGAGUUUGCUAGUUAGCUUAUAAAUAAAGUCCACGAUAUAAUCGCUCAUUACACAGAGUUAAGCAUAAAUAUUCCCGAUAUAGUGACUUUCCUACAAGAAACUAUUAAUGAUGUUGCUGAGCUCACGAUUUCAAUGUUUAUUAAAUAUGUUUCAAAUUGA